UUCUAAAUUUCGAAAUUCGCGGGGAAGAAGAAGAAGAGGCUUCGGGUUCGGGAAGAGAAUCAGCGCCAUGGACGAAUUCUUCCAAAGCGAUCCUGCGGAUUUCUGGCUGGUAGAAGACUACUUUCCGGUCAACCGAAGCGCUUUUGUAGGAUACGAGAGCCGGAAAAGUGAAGGAGGCGCCGGCGGCGGGAGCCAACUGUUGAGACCGAAUCGUCAGAAUGCGAACAAGAGGAUGAUAGAGUUCUGGAGGCGGCGUGCUCGGGCGGCGGCUCCGGUGCAGGCGGAAGGUGGCGAAUCGGAGAGAGAGCGGUGUCGGCGGCACAUGAUCAGUGAGAGGAUGAGGAGAGAGAAAGAGAAGCAGGGCUUCAUAGCUCUGCAUUCUAUGUUGCCCCCUGGAACCAAGAGAGAUAAGAGGUCGAUAGUUGAAGCGGCAGCCACGGAAGUUGAGGAGCUUCAAAGGUGUAAAGAGGAGUUGGAGAGGAGAAAGGAGGAAAUGGAGAGGAAAUUGUUGUUGGCGAGGACAGAGCAGCCCCGGGAAAUGGAGGGGGCGAAGAUCAGAAUAAGGGUGGGGAAUCCUUUCUCCGGGACUGAUUCGAUGGUUGAGGUUCUGAAAUGUCUCAGGAACAUGGGGACCAAGACCAGAGCUAUCCAAUCCCAGUUUUCACCCCAGGAAUUAUCGGCAGUCUUGCACAUUGAAUCAGAGAUGGAAGCAGCAGAAGUUGAGAAGAAGGUGCAGGAGACAUUCCGUGAAGCUGAGAGGAAGUUUCGUUUCAGUUGCCCACCCGACACUUCAAAAAGUUACAGUGAAGAACACAUCACACAUGGAUGGGCAUCUUAAUUAAUUAAUUAUUAAUCCUUGUGGAAGAUUCAACGACAUUGUGGAACUUCAGAUAUCAAUGAUGACUCACCACCGGUACAGCAGGUAGCACGAGGAUUAAAGAUGCAUCAUCAUUAUCAAUCAAGAAGAUAUGAUUAUUAUAUUGAGGGUUCGCAUCAAAACGAUUAUCUCAAGAAGAUAUGAUUAUGGCACAACCUAACUGUCAUCCCAAGUUUAUUGAAUGAAGAGGAAGUCAAACGCGAUGAAACCCCCACCUUGGGCUAUUACCGUAGUACACACAGAAAGGACAGUCCAAGAAAUCAGACCAUCAUUAAGUCCAACCAUUCAACUACUCGCGCACAUGGCAGACGAAAAUAUGUAGCAACAAUCCCCUCUUUUAUGUAACAAAUAAUAAUAUUAACCAUGAGUCAAAACAUAGCAACAAGCUUUGAACUAAAAGUCGUUUUAACAUUCAAACCCUUAAUAUGGGGGGAAAAAAAAAUUAUCCAGUUAAAAAAGCAAAACACGGAUCAUCAAGCAAAGAGUGUCCAAGAAAACAUUUGAAUACUAAAUGGGCAUUUAUGUCUAGACUGCAGGGUGGGUGAUGCCUCUCACUUGAGAGGAAUGAACCUAGAGGAGUGGGUGGCACCAAUACCAGGUCUUCCAUGCUUGACUGGCUUGUAUGAGAUCGAGAAUUCAGCCAGAUAAUGGCCGAUCAUUUCCGGCUUGAUCUCAACUGUAGUGAAGGCUUUCCCGUUGUACACACCAAUAACACUUCCAAUCAUCUCUGGCACGAUGAUCAUAUUCCGCAAGUGGGUUUUCACAAUAUCUGGCUUCUCACCCGGUGGGGCCUCGCGUUU